rnacentral:rRNA from 1 species
GGGAACUACCUAGUAGUACGGAACAACACAGAGAAAUUUGUGCUAAUACCGUAUACGCCCUCCGGGGAAAGAUUUAUCGCUAUUGGAUGGGCCCGCGUUUGAUUAGCUAGUUGGUGAGGUAACGGCUCACCAAGGCGACGAUCAAUAGCUGGUCUGAGAGGACGAUCGGCCACACUGGGACUGAGACACGGCCCAGACUCCUACGGGAGGCAGCAGUGGGGAAUAUUGGACAAUGGGCGCAAGUGAUCCAGCCAUGCCGCGUGUGUGAUGAAGGCCCUAGGGUUGUAAAGCACUUUCAACGGUGAAGAUAAUGACGGUAACCGUAGAAGAAGCUCCGGCUAACUUCGUGCCAGCAGCCGCGGUAAUACGAAGGGAGCUAGCGUUGUUCGGAAUUACUGGGCGUAAAGCGCGCGUAGGGGACUAUUAAGUCAGGGGUGAAAUCCCGGGGCUCAACCCCGAACUGCCCUUGAUACUGGUAGUCUAGAGUUCGGGAGAGGUGAGUGGAAUUCCGAGUGUAGAGGUGAAAUUCGUAGAUAUUCGGAGGAACACCAGUGGCGAAGGGGCUCACUGGCUCGAUACUGACGCUGAGGUGCGAAAGGUGGGGAGCAAACAGGAUUAGAUACCCUGGUAGUCCACGCCGUAAACGAUGGAUGCUAGCCGUUGGACAGUUUACUGUUCUGUGGCGCAGUAACGCAUUAAGCAUCCCGCCUGGGGAGUACGGUCGCAAGAUUAAAACUCAAAGGA